rnacentral:rRNA from 1 species
AUUGAACGCUGGCGGCAUGCCUUACACAUGCAAGUCGAACGGCAGCACGGGUGCUUGCACCUGGUGGCGAGUGGCGAACGGGUGAGUAAUAUAUCGGAACGUACCUUAUUGUGGGGGAUAACGCAGCGAAAGCUGUGCUAAUACCGCAUAAUCCCUAAGGGGGAAAGCGGGGGACCGUAAGGCCUCGCGCAAUUAGAGCGGCCGAUACCUGAUUAGCUAGUUGGUGAGGUAAAGGCUCACCAAGGCAACGAUCAGUAGCUGGUCUGAGAGGACGAUCAGCCACACUGGGACUGGGACACGGCCCAGACUCCUACGGGAGGCAGCAGUGGGGAAUUUUGGACAAUGGGGGCAACCCUGAUCCAGCAAUGCCGCGUGAGUGAAGAAGGCCUUCGGGUUGUAAAGCUCUUUUGUCAGGGAAGAAACAGCAGCUCUAACACAGUCCGGGAAUGACGGUACCUGAAGAAUAAGCACCGGCUAACUACGUGCCAGCCGCCGCCGUAA